CGGUCUGGGCUCAGGCUCUUUGGACCACCGAAGGCGGGGAAAAUUCCC
rnacentral:sRNA from 12 species